rnacentral:lncRNA from 1 species
UGUGUGGUGGUUUAGUCCGGGCCCUUUCUUCCGGCCGUGUAGGAGUGCCUGUGCGGGGCUCCUCUGGUGAUAUGCCCUUGGCGCAUACCUUCCAGUGUGCCUGGGGGCUUUUGCUUUUCAAUGACGUCAUUUGAUAUACAGCCUAUAAUUUAGUGUGAUUUCAUAAUCUAUUCUAAAGAUUUUGUUUUUGCUUAAAAGCUUUAAAAUUUUGCUUUUCAAAUUUGGCAUUUAAUCGAAGUGGAGUUAAGCUGGCGUAGGGUGUGAUGUAGGGAAUCCAUUUUUCCAAUUGUCUCCAGCCAGUUCCAGCACCAUUUACCGACCCCUGGGUCCUUCUGCACCCUCUGAGGCGCACACUCAGGUGGCCACGCCACAUCUGCUCCUAACCCUGCCCCUCAGCUUCCUCCCCUCUCGGGCUGGAAGGCUAUAUACUUGGCUGAGCUCCCGGCUCCUUCCAGCUAGGGCGGCCGUGUGCCCACUGCGGCUGGUCAGAUGCCCGAGCCUGCCGACGAGGGCCUCCAGUUCCUCUGGGUUUCCCCAGGUGAGGAGAUCUAACAGCAGCUGGUGUGGCCGGGCCCGCUCCCGUCUUCCUGUCUGGAAUGUGGAAGGGACCCCUGGCAUGCAGAACCCCCCGUGUGACCACAAGGGCUGAGUGGAGCACCCGGAGCCUGGUGGAGGGAGAGUCCUUGGCGUGGCUGAGGUGCUGCCCAGCCCGGACUGCCAGCUGCAGGGGUUUUAUGUUAAAAAAAAAAAUGCCUAUUUGUUCAAACUACUGUGAGUCAUGUUUUCUGUUCUUUUGUGGCUAAAAGCAGCCCUGCCUUUAUCCCCUCCGUGUGGUGAGUUUUCUGACAUGUAUAGGUCUGCUCCAGACUGCCGCUGAUGGUCACAGUCCAUUCUGUGCCACACACGGCAUUAGGCACUGGGGAUACAACAGAGGACAAAAGGG